AGCGAAACGGGAAGAGCCCAAACCAACAAGCUUGCUUGUUGGGGUUGUAGGACACUCUAUACGGAGUUACAAAGGACGACAUUAGACGAAUCAUCUGGAAAGAUGAAUCAAAGAAGGUAAUAAUCCUGUAGUCGAAAAUGUUGUCUCUCUUGAGUGGAUCCUGAGUACGACGGAGCACGUGAAAUUCCGUCGGAAUCUGGGAGGACCAUCUCCUAAGGCUAAAUACUCUCUAGUGACCGAUAGUGAACCAGUACCGUGAGGGAAAGGUGAAAAGCACCCCGGAAGGGGAGUGAAAUAGAACCUGAAACCGUG
rnacentral:rRNA from 1 species